GGGCUCGUAGUCUAGCUCGGUUAUGACGUCGCCUUGACAUGGCGAAGGUCCCCGGUUCAAAUCCGGGCGGGCCCA
rnacentral:tRNA from 1 species